GUAUGUUCAAAAGCUCUGAAGUGGGAAGGAGUUUGACAUCUUCAGAGAAUAUGGAAAAGUUGAAGAUGGUAAGGUGGGAGAGUGGCACAAGUGUCAAUAGUGAUGUUAGAAGAGAAGAAGUGGUCAGAUCAUGUGACAAUCUUGUAAUCUAUAACAAGGUUGAAUUGUAGAACUGAUGGAAGUUGAGGGGGUUUAAAUAGGAUGAUAAUGCAUUCUUCUUAUUCUAAAAUUUUAAUAUCAUACUUCCUUCUCAAUAAAGAUCUAAACUCACCUUAGUGUUUGGGGUCCUCCACAGUGUAACCUCACUCUGAUACUCAAUGUAUUUUCUAAGACUCUUAAAGUUGAAUCAUUCAUUAAGUUCAGACCUCUCUUCUUUUGACUUUUUCAGCAUAAGUGUCCCUAACUAGACACAAUAGUUCCUUGACAGCAGGAACUAUUGAAACUGUUUUGUGUCCUUCAGAGUGCUAAGCACAUGGUUUUCCUUGAAUUGCAGUGAGUAAGGAAAACAAGAGAUAUCACCAGGGUAUUGUGUUUCCUUAUGUAUUCUAAAAUUAAAUUAUGGGUGUGGAAAUCUCCCAAGUAUAUUAUGGCUACCAUUCAUAUUAUGAAAAAACUAGUAAAAUCAUG
rnacentral:lncRNA from 1 species